rnacentral:rRNA from 1 species
GACGAACGCUGGCGGCGUGCUUAACACAUGCAAGUCGAACGGAAAGGCCCUGCUUUUGUGGGGUGCUCGAGUGGCGAACGGGUGAGUAACACGUGAGUAACCUGCCCUUGACUUUGGGAUAACUUCAGGAAACUGGGGCUAAUACCGGAUAGGAGCUCCUGCUGCAUGGUGGGGGUUGGAAAGUUUCGGCGGUUGGGGAUGGACUCGCGGCUUAUCAGCUUGUUGGUGGGGUAGUGGCUUACCAAGGCUUUGACGGGUAGCCGGCCUGAGAGGGUGACCGGCCACAUUGGGACUGAGAUACGGCCCAGACGCCUACGGGAGGCAGCAGUGGGGAAUAUUGCACAAUGGGCGGAAGCCUGAUGCAGCAACGCCGCGUGCGGGAUGACGGCCUUCGGGUUGUAAACCGCUUUCGCCUGUGACGAGGCGUGAGUGACGGUAAUGGGUAAAGAAGCACCGGCUAACUACGUG